CCCAACUUUUUUUUUUUUUAAUCUACAAUACAGCUGCACUGUUGGUAGAAGUGAGAAUCUAACUGGUGGCUGGAGUGAGGUGGCAUAAUCACAGCUGAAUGCAGCCUCAAUCUCCCAGGCUUAAGAGAUCCUCCCUCCUCAGCCUCCUGAGUAGCUGAGAAAACAGGCAUGUGCCACCAUGGCCAGCUAACUUUUUAAAUUUUUUUUAAGAGAUGGGGGUCUCACUGUGUUACUCAGGCUGGUCUUAAAUUCCUGAGCUCAAGCUAUCCUCCCACCUCAUCCUCCCAAAGUGUUGGAAUUACAGGCAUGAGC
ensembl:lncRNA novel transcript